AGUGAACGCUGGCGGUAGGCCUAACACAUGCAAGUCGAACGGCAGCACAGUAAGAGCUUGCUCUUACGGGUGGCGAGUGGCGGACGGGUGAGGAAUACAUCGGACUCUACUUUUUCGUGGGGGAUCACGUAGGGAAACUUACGCUAAUACCGCAUACGACCUACGGGUGAAAGCAGGGGAUAUUCGGACCUUGCGCGAUUGAAUGAGCCGCUGUCGGAUUAGCUAGUUGGCGGGGUAAAGGCCCACCAAGGCGACGAUCCGUAGCUGGUCUGAGAGGAUGAUCAGCGACACUGGAACUGAGACAGGGUCCAGACGCCUACGGGAGGCAGCAGUGGGGAAUAUUGGACAAUGGGCGCAAGCCUGAUCCAGCCAUACCGCGUGGGUGAAGAAGGCCUUCGGGUUGGAAAGCCCUUUUGUUGGGAAAGAAAAGCAGCAGGUUAAUACCCCGCUGUUCUGACGGUACCCAAAGAAUAAGCACCGGCUAACUUCGUG
rnacentral:rRNA from 1 species